UACGGGGGGGGCAAGCGUUGUUCGGAAUUACUGGGCGUAAAGGGCUCGUAGGUGGCCAACUAAGUCAGACGUGAAAUCCCUCGGCUUAACCGGGGAACUGCAUCUGAUACUGGAUGGCUUGGAUUCGGGAGAGGAAUGCGGAAUUCCAGGUGUAGCGGUGAAAUGCGUAGAUAUCUGGAGGAACACCGGUGGCGAAGGCGGCAUUCUGGACCGAUAUUGACGCUGAGGAGCGAAAGCCAGGGGAGCAAACGGG
rnacentral:rRNA from 1 species